GCGUCAAAAGGAGGGGCAUCGGCUUCUGGAGGGAGGUUGACCCAUCCCGGGAACUGAAACCUUGCACAGCAAAACCAAGCUAAAACCCUCCACAAGGCGGGGACCGCUGCGUUUGUUCACCGCUCUAGUCCGGUUCCCAGCAAACACAAGCAUCCGGAUGCAAUGCUUUUGCUGUAUUUGUGAGUUAAAUUCAAGCAAGCUCUUACCAAGAAAGCAAGCUGUGUCAGUAUAGAGGCUGGACAAAGAAGAAAGUAAUGAGCUAUGAAAAAGUCCUGAAUGAAGACUUUAGAAGAAUUUCAAAGGAUGAGAAGUGUCCAGUUAUAGGAAGGAUAAGGAAUAACCCAUCCAACUAUGUGACCUAUGGUUGGCCCAUGCACAUCUUCCAGGUCUCAUUUGUGGGAAGAAUGAAGAAAUCUAGUAGGUAAAACUCUGUUGAGAAGUAUAGGUGCCCCAAUAAUGGCAGAAGCAGCAGCUGGGCACUGAGCAGGCAAAGCUUUGGGUUCACUGUUGGAGAGUUGAGCCCCUAGGGUGACCGCCAUUAAAGAAACUGGUUAUCUCUAGAUAUAUGCCUUCCUACAUUGUCCUUUAAAGUAAAAAAGACACUAUUCUUUAUCCCUGCAAAAUCUGGUUUAAUGCCAGCACAUCACACUCUGCUAUCUGAUUCCUUUCAGCCAAUGGGAUGCAUUUUCAAAAUGGUGGGCUUCAAGUAAGGGAUUUUAUCUGAGGUCUGGUAACAAUCAACAUAUAGCCAAGCUAACCAACCACCCUCUGCCAAACUAAAAUCUUAAAUUAAAGAACAUUUAAUAAAUUCACAAGCCCAUUAAAUGGUUUCAUAAAUUUAUCUGCUUUCUCCUCUAAGAAGGAAGCAUAGAGUUUGAAUCCUGGCUCUACCCCUUACUAGUAAUGGCUUUGGGCAAGCUAAACUUCUUUGAACCUCAAUCUCAUUGCUUAACAAGGAAAAAACAAUGUUAGUACCUUCCUCAUAGGAUGUUGUGAGGACUAAAUGUAAUAGAUAAAUAUAGUAAAGUUAUGUAUACAAUGUAUUUAUACAAAUAAAGGUAAUAAAUGUAAAGUACUUCUAACAGUAUCUGAAAUUUAGUAACCAUUCAGUAAGUAUUUUAUUUAUUAACUCAAAAUUUUCUAUAAAUGAUACUUCUCUACAGAGACUUGUCCAUAAUUAUUACCAGUGGCCUCCAGGAAGGGAAGUUCUUAAGGGACUCAGUAAACGGCUGACACUGAUGUGUAACUCAGUAUCAGGCAACUCACUGCUUUAUCAAGCACUGCAGAAUGGAAAAGUUAUGCUACCUCAUUUUCAUCACUUAAAUACAAAUACAAGUAUCUGUGCCUCCUCUCUGAGAAUCCUAAAAACUGGAAAGCCCCAAUGACCAUAUAUAAUAAAAGGUAGAAGUGACUCAACUAGAAAUCUAGGAACUCUCAAUCUGAAGUGUUCUGGGAAGACCUGAAUAUUCCCAGCUCUCCAUAUUCAGGGGCUUUCCUUAUACUCCCCGACCCGUUUAUAGAAACUAAAUGGCAGCUUUGCCCUUCCAGCUACUCAAUGUAUCCCUUCAAAAUUUUCACUCAGGGUCCAGUAUCAAUUAUUUACCAAGUUCCUAGGUGACACUGUGACAUCAUCUCCAGGUGUGCCCAAACACCAUCACAGGCAUAGUGAUUACAGGAAGUAAUCGAUUUUGACUGUGCCUAGAAAUGGAUGUCCUCUUUCCAAUCAAUACUAUGGAUAAUGAUUUUUUUUUUCUCAUUUAAAAUUGCCAAUGAGUUUCACUCAAUUCUAGUUGCUCAAUUCCGCUUUGGAUUAUUCUGGGAAGCUUUUUUCACGUAAGCGUAAGUGUGAAAUAUCUUGUUAGAGCCGUCUUGCUACAUGACCUUCAAGUGACUUAACUCAGAGGACAAUAGGGUGUUUACUAAUAAGACUUGCAAAUUCUUGGAGACUUAAGUUGGAUGAGAGCAAUAGUAGCUUGUCUCCUCCUGAAAAAUUCCUGGUGAAUUGACAUCAUCUAACUCUGCCCAGCCAGCUGUCUGUGGAUAACUCAUGGACCCUGAGGCAUUGUGGGUAGUAAGUUUGUAUUAAGUAAUUACCUGGAAUUGAGCCUAUUUGAAAUAGUAUUUCCAUUGCCACUUUUAUCCAUCUAUUUCUGUUGACAUGAGCAUUUUAAGUUUCAUCUUUUAUUUUUGCACUUCAUGUACACGUUGGAACGAAUGGCUCUGGGGGCAUUGGUUAUACUGUUGGCCCAAAGGAAUCCUCAUUCCUCAUUAUAUACUUUGCUCAUUUUGAUAGUGUAAAUCCAUCCUCCUUAAAUCAUUUCCC